UGAGGAACAUGACUUUCGGUGGGGAGUAGCCGGCCCAACGGCCGGGUAAUACCGCGUACGACCUUUGGGACAUCCCUGAUUGGUGAAAGCAGCAAUGCGCCGAAAGAGUGCCUCGCGGCCUAUCAGCUAGUUGGUGGGGUAAUGGCUCACCAAGGCGACGACGGGUAGCUGGUCUGAGAGGAUGGCCAGCCACAUUGGGACUGAGACACGGCCCAGACUCCUACGGGAGGNAGCG
rnacentral:rRNA from 1 species